AUUGAACGCUGGCGGCAGGCUUAACACAUGCAAGUCGAGCGGAGAUGAGGUGCUUGCACCUUAUCUUAGCGGCGGACGGGUGAGUAAUGCUUAGGAAUCUGCCUAUUAGUGGGGGACAACAUUCCGAAAGGAAUGCUAAUACCGCAUACGUCCUACGGGAGAAAGCAGGGGAUCUUCGGACCUUGCGCUAAUAGAUGAGCCUAAGUCGGAUUAGCUAGUUGGUGGGGUAAAGGCCUACCAAGGCGACGAUCUGUAGCGGGUCUGAGAGGAUGAUCCGCCACACUGGGUCUGAGGCACGGCCCAGACUUCUACGGGAGGCAGAAGUGGGGAAUAUUGGACAAUGGGGGGAACCCUGAUCCAGCCAUGCCGCGUGUGUGAAGAAGGCCUUAUGGUUGUAAAGCACUUUAAGCGAGGAGGAGGCUACUGAGACUAAUACCCUUGGAUAGUGGACGUUACUCGCAGAAUAAGCACCGGCUAACUCUGUGCCAGCCGCCGCGGUAA
rnacentral:rRNA from 1 species